CAAAUAGUAGCUUAUAAUUUAAAGCUUAUUAUUUACAUUAAUAUGAAAACUUAUUGUUUUAUUUGA
rnacentral:tRNA from 1 species